rnacentral:rRNA from 1 species
UGUCGUCAGCUCGUGUUGUGAAAUGUUGGGUUAAGUCCCGCAACGAGCGCAACCCUUAUCCUUUGUUGCCAGCGGUUCGGCCGGGAACUCAAAGGAGACUGCCAGUGAUAAACUGGAGGAAGGUGGGGAUGACGUCAAGUCAUCAUGGCCCUUACGAGUAGGGCUACACACGUGCUACAAUGGCAUAUACAAAGAGAAGCGACCUCGCGAGAGCAAGCGGACCUCAUAAAGUAUGUCGUAGUCCGGAUUGGAGUCUGCAACUCGACUCCAUGAAGUCGGAAUCGCUAGUAAUCGUAGAUCAGAAUGCUACGGUGAAUACGUUCCCGGGCCUUGUACACACCGCCCGUCACACCAUGGGAGUGGG